rnacentral:rRNA from 1 species
UUUUGGACAAUGGGCGCAAGCCUGAUCCAGCCAUUCCGCGUGAGUGAAGAAGGCCUUCGGGUUGUAAAGCUCUUUCGCAAGGGCAGAAAGAUUACUCUUUAAUAUAGAGUGAUUAUGACGGUACCUUGAUAAGAAGCACCGGCUAACUACGUGCCAGCAGCCGCGGUAAUACGUAGGGUGCAAGCGUUAAUCGGAAUUACUGGGCGUAAAGCGUGCGCAGGCGGUUUUGUAAGACAGGCGUGAAAUCCCCGGGCUUAACCUGGGAAUGGCGCUUGUGACUGCAAAGCUGGAGUGCGGCAGAGGGGGAUGGAAUUCCGCGUGUAGCAGUGAAAUGCGUAGAUAUGCGGAGGAACACCGAGGCGAAGGCAAUCCCCUGACCUCACUACGCUCAGCAGAGUGCUAGG